rnacentral:rRNA from 1 species
UACGUAGGGGGCAAGCGUUGUCCGGAAUUAUUGGGCGUAAAGAGCGUGUAGGCGGUCCGGUAAGUCAGCUGUGAAAGUCAAGGGCUCAACCCUUGAAAGCCGGUUGAUACUGUCGGGCUAGAGUCCGGAAGAGGCGAGUGGAAUCCCGGUGUAGCGGUGAAAUGCGCAGAUAUCGGGGAGGAACACCAAUGGCGAAGGCAGCUCGCUGGGACGGUACUGACGCUGAGACGCGAAAGCGU